rnacentral:rRNA from 1 species
AGAGUUUGAUCCUGGCUCAGGAUGAACGCUGGCGGCGUGCUUAACACAUGCAAGUCGAACGAACCUUCGGGUUAGUGGCGGACGGGUGAGUAACGCGUGAGAAUCUGCCCUCAGGAGGGGGAUAACGGCUGGAAACGGCCGCUAAUACCCCAUAUGCCGAGAGGUGAAAUGAGUUUCGCCUGAGGAUGAGCUCGCGUCUGAUUAGCUAGUUGGUGGGGUAAGAGCCUACCAAGGCAUCGAUCAGUAGCUGGUCUGAGAGGAUGAUCAGCCACACUGGGACUGAGACACGGCCCAGACUCCUACGGGAGGCAGCAGUGGGGAAUUUUCCGCAAUGGGCGAAAGCCUGACUGAGCAACGCCGCGUGAGGGAUGAAGGCCUCUGGGCUGUAAACCUCUUUUAUCAAGGAAGAAGAUCUGACGGUACUUGAUGAAUAAGCCACGGCUAAUUCCGUGCCAGCAGCCGCGGUAAUACGGGAGUGGCAAGCGUUAUCCGGAAUUAUUGGGCGUAAAGCGUCCGCAGGCGGCCUCGUAAGUCUGUCGUUAAAGCGUGGAGCUUAACUCCAUUAAGGCGAUGGAAACUGUGAGGCUUGAGUGUGGUAGGGGCAGAGGGAAUUCCCGGUGUAGCGGUGAAAUGCGUAGAUAUCGGGAAGAACACCAGUGGCGAAGGCGCUCUGCUGGGCCAUAACUGACGCUCAUGGACGAAAGCCAGGGGAGCGAAAGGGAUUAGAUACCCCUGUAGUCCUGGCCGUAAACGAUGAACACUAGGUGUCGGGGGAAUCGACCCCCUCGGUGUCGUAGCCAACGCGUUAAGUGUUCCGCCUGGGGAGUACGCACGCAAGUGUGAAACUCAAAGGAAUUGACGG